AAGAAAUAGGGUUGUUUUUUUUUUGUGUGUAAAUGUUAAUAUAGUUAAUUAGAAUAGCAAGUAUAAAUGUUACUAUAAACCGGCUGCGGGAUACACAUCCAAGAGUACUGAAAGCCCUGAAAUCAUAAAUCAUACGGUCAAAUCUAAUGGGAAAUUUAGGGUCAGGUCUGGGGUAUGGGGAUACUUUUGUUUAUUCAAGGAAGCCUGGUUAGUGUAUGGCAGAGUUCGAGAGUUUUCUGUGUGUUUCUGAGUCAGUUGAAUUUGGGCUUAAGACCAGAGCGUUUGUUGUUUGGAAGGAGGUGCCAUCAGAAUUUCUGAUCGUCGGCCACAUUGUGGAGGCAUCUAGAGUGUUGUGUUUAUAGAAGGAAUCUAAAUGGGAUCCCAUUUUUGUUGGUGUAAGAAUUACGAUGAAGAAAGUUGAUGGAAAAGGGGAUAGAAGAUAGAAGUUUAAUAAGACGUAUGUUGCAUACUAGAACUAGUUGAAUAUUGAUGAAGAAAGUUGAUGGAAAAGGGGAUAGAAGAUAGAAGUUUAAUAAGACGUAUGAUGCAUACUAGAACUAGUUGAAUAUUGGCCAUCAGUUUCAUAAAGACAACUACAAAUAAAUUAUACAGAGAAACGCACUGACAGGAAGGAAGCAUUCAUAUCAUAGUAAACCUCAAAAAGUGUAGCAGUGAUGUGCACUGUGUAGUUCCGAUUGGGUAACUGGAAAGAACUGGACCUGAGAACUGAAUAUAUAUUUAUGACGUUCACAGCGGAGCACAGCAAGAACAUUUGUUUUUACCAUUUGACAUUCGAUCAUCAUGGAUAAUCUAAACUGAAAUUUCUUAUUUGUUUUUAAAUGUGCAUGCUUUUAGAAUAGAAAUUAAAGCAUGAAAAUUAAAUAGAUAAAUAGAUAAAUAAACUUUGUAAUCCUC